rnacentral:rRNA from 1 species
GGGCUAGCGUUGCUCGGAAUCACUGGGCGUAAAGGGUGCGUAGGCGGGUCUUUAAGUCAGGGGUGAAAUCCUGGAGCUCAACUCCAGAACUGCCUUUGAUACUGAAGAUCUUGAGUUCGGGAGAGGUGAGUGGAACUGCGAGUGUAGAGGUGAAAUUCGUAGAUAUUCGCAAGAACACCAGUGGCGAAGGCGGCUACCUGGACCGGUUCUGACGCUGAGGCGCGAAAGCGUGGGUAGCAAACAGG